rnacentral:rRNA from 1 species
AACGUAGGAGGCAAGCGUUAUCCGGAUUUACUGGGCGUAAAGGGCGUGCAGGUGGUGGUCUAAGUCAUACGUGAAAUCCCUCGGCUUAACCGGGGAACUGCGCCUGAUACUGGUUGACUUGAGUUUGGGAGAGGGACGCGGAAUUCCAGGUGUAGCGGUGAAAUGCGUAGAUAUCUGGAGGAACACCGAUGGCGAAGGCAGCUCGCUGGGACGGUACUGACGCUGAGACGCGAAAGCGUGGGGAGCAAACAGG